rnacentral:rRNA from 1 species
UACAUGUGGGGCAAGCGUUGUUCGGAAUUACUGGGCGUAAAGGGCUCGUAGGUGGCCAACUAAGUCAGACGUGAAAUCCCUCAGCUUAACUGGGGAACUGCGUCUGAUACUGGAUGGCUUGAGUUUGGGAGAGGGAUGCGGAAUUCCAGGUGUAGCGGUGAAAUGCGUAGAUAUCUGGAGGAACACCGGUGGCGAAGGCGGCAUCCUGGACCAACACUGACACUGAGGAGCGAAAGCCAGGGGAGCAAACGGG